CCACCCUCCAGAGGUCUCCCUCAGCCAAAUUCUAGCCAGCAUCAAACUAAUCACAGACACCUGAAGCUCAUCUCAAAUAAUGGGGAUGAUGGACAUCUGAAGAGGGACAGAAAUGCUCCUGGAAUGCACUGAUCUUCUGAGUCUCACAUUCUAAUAUGUCCAACAGAACAUCCCUAAAAGCAUUCCAGACAUCUCCCUGAACCAGACAAUCAAAUGUAUUCAGCAUACAUAUUAAUGGUAUUGCAAUCAUUCACUCUAUAAUGAUUUACUGCUCAAUUUAGUGAAAUAAAACCUUUUAGAAACUUUUA